rnacentral:misc_RNA from 1 species
CACAAGUUAGUAUAGAAAACUUAUGACGAUGUAAUAGUAUGUAAAACACAAGUUAGUAUGGAAAUUUUGUAAUUAGUAUAGUGUAUUGUAAGUUAGUAUUGAAAAUAUUGUAAAAUGAAUAUUUUGAAAAGUACAUCUGCUGAGUUUCUUGCCGGCUCUUCUCAGCAGAGUUCGCAUUUCGAACCGGUGGUAGAUUCAUGACGUGUCAUAAGAGCCACAGGUUGGCCUACAUGAAAUAAAUAAUUUUGAAUUUUGAAUUUUUGACCCUGAUGAUUUAGAGCCAGGUUUAUCCCUCGGUCGCCUUUUACGACCCCCACGGGAAGAAAG